rnacentral:rRNA from 1 species
UACGGAGGUGGCAAGCGUUGUUCGGAAUUACUGGGCGUAAAGGGCGCGUAGGCGGCAAGGCAAGUCAGGUGUGAAAGCCCCGAGCUUAACUCGGGAAUUGCAUCUGAAACUGCUGUGCUUGAGUUCUGGAGGGGGUAGUGGAAUUCCCAGUGUAGCGGUGAAAUGCGCAGAGAUCGGGAGGAACACCCGUAGCGAAGGCGGCACUCUGGGCCGGUACUGACGCUGAGGAGCGAAAGCGUGGGGAGCAAACAGG